AACUUUUGACGGUGGAUCUCUUGGCUCACGCAUCGAUGAAGAACGCAGCCAGCUGCGAUAAGUAGUGUGAAUUGCAGAAUUCAGUGAAUCAUCGAAUCUUUGAACGCAAAUGGCGCUCUUGGGUUCUCCCAGGAGCAUGUCUGUCUGAGUGUCGGAUAUACAUCCAUC
rnacentral:rRNA from 2 species